UACAGAGGUCUCAAGCGUUUGUUCGGAUUCAUUGGGCGUAAAGGGUGCGUAGGUGGCUUGGUAAGUUUGAUGUGAAAUCUCCGGGCUUAACCCGGAAAUGGCAUUGAAUACUAUUGAGCUGGAGGUUUGGAGGGGGGACUGGAAUUCUCGGUGUAGCAGUGAAAUGCGUAGAUAUCGAGAGGAACACCAGUGGCGAAGGCGAGUCCCUGGACAACACCUGACACUGAAGCA
rnacentral:rRNA from 1 species